UCUUAUUAUUCUUUGUAUCAUCAGCACUUGGCAGAGUUCUUGGUACAUGAUAGAUAAUGCUUGCUGUAAUCAUAAGUGAAUAAGUGCUAAUAUUCAUUGUCUUGAUUAAUAAUUUGGGUAGUUUGAAAAAAGUCCCAAAAUGGAUGAAGGGACUGAAGCUGGCUAUGAUUCAUCUUCAUAGAUUAACUAGUAGGAGUUUAAAAGCUGAAUAGCAAGAAAAAAAAUAACUCUAUUAGGAAUGACAUCUGAGUCAUAAACCCAGUAAUAGAAGCCUUAAGUUUUAAAGCUUGUGUUGCAAUCAUUAAAUUUCAACAGUUCUUUUGCUAUCAUCCAACUUCACAUGCCAUGUUCAGUAGCAGCAAUAUGUCAAGAUGUGAAAUGACCAGCCUCUUCAUGGAACAGUGCAGAGAUAUAAUUUCUCUCCAAAUUUAAUCUAGCAUUUUGUUUUCUUUUUAGAGGUAGUGGUUGCACUUUUGCCUUACACCACCUCUUGAGAGCCCUUUAACAAACAUAUUUGAUAAAUUCUGAUUGAAAAAGUAAUGUUUUUGCAUGUUUUACAAAUGGUUCAUUUGUUUUCUCUUUCAUAAUCUAAUUUACAUAAAAAUUCUCUCUCAAGGAUGGACACAUUUUAUUUUCGUAAUUUUUUGUUAUGUUCUGAAUUUGGGUAGAAGUUGGUAUAUAUUUUUUUUCACUUUAACUCAAAUUUCAGAACAUCUUCAGAUGCUUCUGAGUAAUAUGAAUUUUAGUAGAUGGUAAUUUUUUUCUCAAUCCAUUUAAGAAUCACUCUGAAAAAAGAAACAGCAUUGAAGAUUCGGUCUCUCUGCAGUUCUCAGAUGGAUACUUUAGGUCUAUUAGUGCCAAGUUUAUGAGUUCACAUAUUUAGAAAUGCAGAAGUGGAAAAUAUAUUAAAGCUUCCAAGAGCUCAAUAAAAUGGAAAAAAAGAGCAACAACCGUGGGAGAUUAUGGCAAUAGAAUUACCGCAUGUAACUUAUGAAAAAUUCUCGGGCAGUGGCACCCUGGAAAAGAAAGGAAGGAGGGAAGAGUCUCUGACUUGAGAGAUUCAAGUCAUACACGAGAUAUAGAAGUUUUUGGGCCACAGAUUGAAUCCAAGCUGCAGCUGCAACCCAUGCUGUAGCUGCAGCAACACUAGAUCCUUUAACCCACUGUGCUGGGCAAGGACUGAACCUGUGCCUCUGCAUCGACCAGCGCUUCUGCAGUUGAAUUGUUAACUCACUGCACCAUGGCGGGGAUUCCAAAGAGUCCGUUUCUUAUUGCUUUUAUUUUUGUGACAGUUUCAAGUUCCUCACCAUUCUGGUUGGUUUCCUUGAGACAUUCUCCAAUUUAUGAAAGUUCAACAUUCAACCUAACACAACACAUUAUCUGGAUAUUGUAUCCAGAUAUUCACCCUUCUUCUAGUCAUAUUUUCUGAUUAAUGCAUAAUAAUACAAUUUCUUUUUCUUGGCAAUUAUACAAAGGAUAAUCAUAUUGAGUUUAUUGUCAGCUAAAACCUAAUGCAUUUCCUACCCAGACUACUAAGCCAUGAAACCCAUAUUUUAUAGCUGUGCAAAUGGUUUUGUGUACUACAGUUAGAAGUUUUCAUUAAAUUCCUAUUUGGUGACAUCUGGGUAUAGUUAACCCCUUGUUGCAGUCUGUUAAAAUUACAAUUUUUUCAGUCAACAUAUUAUCUGUUAUCAAAAUUUUCACCUGCAGCUUUGAUCAGCAUGCAACAAAGUCCUUACUGUUGUUAAGCCUUUCAUAAAAUUAAUAAGAUGGAAUUCUGAGUACACUACCUUAUACUUUCUCACACCAUAUACAAAAAUAAAAUUAAAAUGGAUU